UCAUCUCCAUCUGUUGGGACCACAGUGUGACCACCACAACCAUGUGUGGGUGACAGGGACCACCGUGUCACCUCGUCAAUGCCAUCUCUAUCUGCUGGGACCACCGUGUCACCUCCUGGAUGCCAUCUCCAUCUGUUGGGACCACCGUGGGUCCUCCAAGUAGCUGUGGGUGACAGGGACCACCACGUCACCUCCUCAUCACCACCUCCAUGUGUUGGAACCAUAACUCAUGUACAAGUGACAGGGACCACCGUGUCACCACCUCAAUGUCAUCUCCGUGUGUUGGGACAACCGUGUGACCACCACAACCAUGUGUGGGUGACAAGGACCACUGUGUCACCUCGUGGAUGCCAUCUCUAUCUGCUGGGACCACCGUGUCACCUCCUGAUGACCAUCUCUGUUGGGACCACAGUGUGGCUCCCACAACCGGUGACGGGGACCACGGUGUCACCUCCUCAAUGUCAUCUCCAUGUGCUGGGACCACAGUGGGACCUCCACAGCCACCUAUGGGUGACAAACACCGUGUCACCUCCUGAUGACCACCUCCAUGUGUUGGGGACCACCGUGGGAGCACUACAACUCACCUGCAGGUGACAAGAGACUGCCGUGUCAUCUCCUCAAUGUCAUCUCCAUGUGUUGGGACCACAGUGGGUCCUCCAAGUACCUGUGGGUGACAGGGACCACUAUGUCACCUCCUGAUCGCCUCCUCCUUGCAUUGGGACCACAGUGUGACCACCACAACCAUGUGUGGGUGACUGGGACCCCUGUGUCACCUCCUGGAUGCCAUCUCCAUCUGUUGGGACCACUGUGUGACCUCCACCACUGCCUACAGGUGCCAGGGAGCACCACAUCACCUCCUGAUGACCAUCUGUGUGUGUUGGGACCACAGUGGGUCCUCCAAGUACCUGUGGGUGACAGGGACCCCCUUGUCACCUCCUGAUCACCACCUCCAUGUGUUGGGACCACAGUGUGACCACCACGACCAUGUGUGGGUGACGGGGACCACCGUGCCCCCUCCUGGAUGCCAUCUCCGUGUGUUGGGACCACCGUGGGACCUCCACAGCCACCUACGGGUGACAAAAAAACACCGUGUCACCUCCUGAUCGCCAUCUCCGUGUGUUGGGGACCGCACUGGGACCUCCACAACCAUUUGUGGGUGACGGGGACCACCGUGUCACCUC
rnacentral:lncRNA from 1 species